AUUGAACGCUGGCGGCAGGCCUAACACAUGCAAGUCGAGCGAGCGGCGGACGGGUGAGUAAUGUAUGGGGACUGCCCGUUAGAGGGGGAUAACUACUGGAAACGGUAUCUAAUACCGCAUACUAGCGGAUUACCCAGAUGGGAUUAGCUAGUAGGUGAGGUAAUGGCUCACCUAGGCGACGAUCCCUAGCCGGUCUGAGAGGGUGAUCAGCCACACUGGGACUGAGACACGGUCCAGACUCCUACGGAGGCAGCAGUGGGGAAUCUUGCACAAUGGGCGCAAGCCUGAUGCAGCCAUGCCGCGUGUAUGAAGAAGGCCCUAGGGUUGUAAAGUACUUUCAGUAGGGAGGCGUUACCGACAGAGAAAGCACCGGCUAACUCCGUGCCAGCAGCCGCGGUAAUAC
rnacentral:rRNA from 1 species